GCCCCCUGCCUCCACCACUGGAGUGCCCCUGCCACCAUCAGCCGGCCUAGUAGCCACCACGAGGCCCCGUUGUACAGAAAACCUGGAUCUGGGCAGAACCAGCCGGCCUCCACCACCACAAGCCAACCCCCGGCGCUCCAAGCUCGACGCAACACACCACCCACAGAGGCCAUGCUCCUCGCGCGCCACGGUCCAGCCGCCCUGCACCAAAGCCGGCCGGACUAGGGUAAGGAGCAAGGCGCGCACACCCGUCCGAGCACACAUCCUCGCGGCCGCCGCAAUUCGGCCAAGCAGCAGCUCACCACCGCGCCGCCGUUCGCCGCACGCGCAAAAGAUCCGCCCGCGCCAGCCGUCCGCCCCUGCUUGUGAAGCUAUCCCGUGCUAGUUGUGCCUCGAGUGGAAAGGAGCCAGAGCCCCGCCGCCACCUACGUCGAUUGGGCUUUGCCAGGCGGUGGCGGUGAAGAAGGGGAGGGGAAAUUGGCGGCGAUGCAGUAGACGAUAGUAACCUGUGUGAAUUCGUGUCCAGCAUGUUCCGAGCAUUGGGAUGUUCUUGAAUGACGGUUCGUCUGCAUCAUCAUCAUCUAUCGGCCAUCUUGCACGUCAUGUGUGUACCACUCAAUAUUUUCGGGUCCAAAUUGAAAGCAAACCAUGCGGAAUGGGUAAACACGGUGAAACCCAACCUCAGCCUUGGCAGUUGGCAUCCGAGAGAAAGUGCACGUGGGCGGCCGGAUGAAUCCGCAAUGGAUGAUCUUCAUGCCGUGAGGACCAAAUUCAAGUCUGCACUUGCUGCUCUGCUCAAGGUAAAUGCAUCCACUAUUCAUUCAUUUAACAGAGCUUGCAAUCUGCCGGACAUGCUACUUAAGUUUUGCCUAACUCUAUGGUUUCAUAUUAAUGGGACCGUGGGAAAACCCGUAUUGCUAAAAAAACAGAACUUGCAAUCAUAAUCCUAUUGCGGCGCCCAUUUUCUGAACAUGCUUUACUCCACGAGGCGAGGCCAUCUCUUGCUGAAUCCUCCAUUACAGGGGGUUGCAUGAUUCUGUCCGAACAUAUGCAAUGUAUAUCUACCAUAAAGAGCAGAGCUGACAGAGUAUGUGUAUUAACUAGAUUUUGACGAUGAUGACAACAAAUUCAGAGUACAAACAGAGAUCCUUAACACAACACAACACCUACUGUGACAUUCAUAUCUGUCAGAGGCAAGAAUUGACUGAUCUUAGUUCCAGUUCAGAAUAAUUGCAAGCCAUGCUUCCAAAGAAAAUAGAUAAAGAUGGGUUGAAUGCUUAGUAGUACAUGAUCCUGUGCCGGCAGGCUUACAAAACAUAGCCAAAUAUUGAGCAUAUCCUUGUUUACAAGCCACAUCACAGUGUUUAACGAAGUAGUAAUACGCCCUCCGUCCCAUAAUACUCCUAUAAGACAUUAUUACAUCCGAUAUAUGGGACUAGUAUCUAAGCACAAAGACGAGGAUAUAUAGUACCUCAACAAACCAUCUAAUAAGGACUCUUUUCGAAAACAGAAGGCAUUUCUCUGCUCCAAAGCCUGAGCUCCCAAACCGAAGGCGUUCUGCUAUCUUUGGUGAUCGGAUUUGGCUUAGAAACAUGAAAGGUAGCAAAACCAUGUGCCGAGUCCCAAGACAUAUCAUAUUGUGUUCUGUUGGGUUGACAAAUAAGGAAAUAAAUUAUUGCCUUUGUUUGUAUUACCGUCUCUCUUUGGUGUAAGCUACCCUUCCUUCAAAUGGAGCGAAAGAUGAGGUCCGAAGACAACUGCCAUCUCUAGAGGUGGCCAACUUUGUAUGGUGUGCAUCAGGGCUUUACUAGUUAAGCUGCGCAAGCAGUAGUCAGAAGCUGAAAAAAGGUAAUGAAAAGCAACGGCCAUGACUUCUUGUGGAAAUCUUCCUGUUAAGUCAGAUGCGAUGAUAUUGUCUGCACAAGGCUUGCCGAGUCCAUUUGAUAUGCAACACAAUGGAUCUGGACUCCAGCUUGUAAUAAAUUGCACCAUGCUUUCCAACAAUACUGGCAUGGCUAGUGAAUCAAAAUAUGAAACAUCCUGUGUAGGUAUUUGAGUGAGUUGUCCCAUAGCGACUUCAGCCGCAGACUUAAAUUGAGGUCCAAGUGAAGUCAGACAUUUUGCGAUAACUCCAAUUAUGUUUGUGCUUUCUUGUAGUCUUAGAGUCAACGGUAGAACAAAACUUUUAAGUGGUGCCUGGUGGUCUUCUCAUCAAAACUCUAGCAUUGCGACCAUGGUUUUCACUUUCAGUGAGAUUUCGGUGAAAUCCACUGAAUUUCAGUAAUUUCAGCAGACACUGAAAUAUUACGUUUCGGCCAAAAUAUUUCAGCAAUUUCAGUAUAGCACAACCAUUUCAAUAUUUUUCAAAAUAUUUUUCAAAAUUAUCAAAUUUUGAAUUGAAUUCAAGUGAAUAUUUCGGUCAUUUGGCUGAAAUGGAAACUGAAAUCACUGAAAUUCACUGAAUUUCAGUAAUUUCGGUUGGUGCUGAAAUUUUUCUGAAACUGAAAUUGAAAACCAUGAUUGCGACACUACCAUAUCCUUCUGCAUAAGCCGGCAAUAUACAAAGAGAACAGGUUUGGCUUCCUCGCACCACUUCAUAGGAGAGACCCUUGCCUUCAAGAAGAUGCCUGAUGAGAGGAUUGAGAAACCUAUAGUGAGAAAGUGAACAUCCGGAUUCCAUGUCCCUAACAAACUUGUCGGCUUCGUUGGCAAACCACUCAAACCUUCGAACAGCAGAGCUACUAAGCAACAUGGGAGUGAGUUACCGUAACAUAUGUGUAUAACUGGUUGUGCUCAAUCCAAAUCCAUGUACCCACCCUCUGAGCUUUGUCUUAGGUGUGGGUGUGAAUUUUGGUGCUCUCCCUCUGAGUUUGUUAACUGAAUAUGCAUUGCGUCUUUUGUCCCCUGAUGAUGCGGUUGACAUAUUUGCCGACUGAAUAUGUUGCUUUCCUUUGUCCAUGGUGUUUGUUUUGUGAAUUAUUUUUCUGUACCAGAUAUGCUGUCCAACUAUAUUUCGUGUCGGUUUGUGUCUGUUUCUGUUAAUCUGAGUUUGUUAACUGAAUAUGCAUUGCGUCUUUUGUCCCCUCAUGAUGCGGUUGAUUUCCUUUGCUGCAAUCGCCAUGUGUUGUAAUCGUGCAAAUUUGUGUAAUUGUAUGCUUGAUCGUGAAACAAGCACAUAGGAGCAAUUUCAAAUAUUUUUUGAGUGCCAUUGAAACAUCUUACCAGAUUAACAGAAACAGACACAAACUGGCACGAAAUUCUGUUAAAUCGUGCAAAUUUGUGUAAUUGGUAUGCUUGAUCGUGAAACAAGCACAUAAGAGCAAUUUCAAAUAUUUUUUGAGUGCCAUUGAAAACAUCUUAUCAGAUUAACAGAAACAGACACAAACUGGCACGAAAUUCUGUUAAUCGUGCAAAUUUGUGUAAUUGGUAUGCUUGAUCGUGAAACAAGCACAUAAGAGCAAUUUCAAAUAUUUUUUGAGUGCCAUUGAAACAUCUUACCAGAUUAACAGAAACAUAGUUGGACAGCAUAUCUGUCUGGUACAGAAAAAUAAUUCACAAAACAAACACCACACGAGUACAGCAUAACUGGUACAGAAAAUACAUUCACAAAACUUUAGUCGACAGCACAGCAACUGGUACAGAAAAUACUAAAUUCACAAAACCAAACAAACACCAACAACUCACACGAGAUAUAUCCUUAAAGUCCACCAAAUAUAGUUGGACUGGUACAGAAAAUACUAAAUUCACAAAAUACAACAAAUCAAAAGGACCAUAUAUCUUAUUAUAAUACUACACAUCCUUGUACCGAGAUGUCCCACUUCUCAGAAACCAGACUGGACCAUGCAACAGUAAUCUCCAACUCAAUGCCUCCAGUGAGUAUACAUGUUUGCUGGCUUAUGUUGGAAAA